UUUUGAUCUGCAUUCAAUCUU
ensembl:piRNA 21ur-13838 ncRNA